GGACGGGUGGGUGAGUGGUUAAUACCACCAGACUGUAAAUCUGGCGCUCGGAAGGGCUACGUAGGUUCGAAUCCUACCCCGUCCACCA
rnacentral:tRNA from 2 species